CUUUCCACCCGAGCGCGAGGUAGACGCCGGGGCCACCCGCAGCACGCAGAGCUUCUGGGAGCCGGUGGCAAGGCCGAAUUGGGAUGCAAACCAAAUGGACGUGGGUGACUGGCAGAAAACGCCUCCCACAAAUGGGAGGGAUUUCGGAGGGAACCGAAAGAAAGUUGACACUCAGGGACCACAGUCUCCACCAUCUUAUAGAGGCACUUCCUUGAACAUGUGGUCCUCUCAGCGCCUGCAGCAGAAGAGAGCACUGGAGAGUGCCUGUCCUUGGAAUUAGUUCUUCUUCCCUAAUUAGAGUACCUCCUAACAUGGUGCCUUCACCCUUCAGCCCAAUAAGUGUUCACAAAACUGACCAGACCACGGAAAUUCCUUCUCCUUGGGCAACUGAAGAAGAGGAUAAAGAGAAAGAAAGGAGGCUUGAAUGUUUUCCUUUCAAGGCAAUAUGUUACUUACUUAAUAUUAGAAUUAACUAAUUAAAAAACCUCUUAGCUUCUCCUAUGGGCAGACAUUCUUCAAAGUUACCAUAUCAGGACUGGAGGCAAAUAAUAAAUAUCUAAUGGUACAACAGGCCACAGUUUUUACUAUCCUAGUGAAAUCUGCAUACUUUCAAAAUUAAAUCUGCUUGAUUCCACCCACUAGAGUUUGCAGGUAACAACAAUGACAUAAUGAUGAUGUCGACAGCAAUGGGUCUUGCUGAUUCAGUGCUUACUAUUACCUGUCACAAUACUAACUGCAAUGUACUGCUCAUUUCUCACAACAAACCAGAGGAUGAGAUGUUAUUCCUCUCCAUUUUGUAGAUAAGCUGACUGGGGUACAGAGAGGUAAAGCGGCUUACCUAAAGACACACAGCAAGUGACAGGCAAGGCCAGUUCUGCCUGGACUCACAGUCCCAGUUUCUUCUUUUGCCUCCUUGAUGAAAGCAUCACUUUGAGGAAAGGCAAGGUUUUCCUAAGUUUACCUAGAAGAGGUUUGCAUUUGAAACUUCUAUAAUAAUAAUUUUAAUAAUAUUCAUAAAAAACAUAUCAUCCUAGUACUUAAUAAUAUACAUACUUACCAUGUAUCAGAUGCUGUUCUAAGUACUUUACAUAUUUCCGUUCAUUGAAUCCUCACAACAGCACUGUGAGACAGGUACUAUUAUUAUUCCCAUUCUUCAGAUGAAGCCACUGAGGCACAAGGUUAAGUAACUUGAAGUUUUAUACCUAAUAAAUUAAGUCUGGUUUGAAUUGUCCGAACUGUCUGACAGUUAGACAUACUGACAAUUAUAACUAUUCUAUGUAUAAGUAAAUAAAACUAUACAGGCAUGCCUCAUUUUAUUAUGCCUCAAGAUACUGCAUUUUUUUUACAGAUUAAAGGUUUGCGGCAACCCUGGGUUGAGCAAGUCUAUCAGUGCCAUUUUCCCAACGGCAUGUACUUGCUUUGUCUUUGUGUUACAUUUGGAUAAUUCUCAUAAUAAUUCAAAUGUUUCCAUUAUUAUUAUAUCUGUUAUGGUGAUCUGUGAUCAGUGAUCCUUGAUGUUACUAUUGUAAUGGUUUUAGGGCUCCAUAAACUGCACCCAGAUGAGAGGAAGAACUUUGAUAAGUGAGUGUGUUCCGACUGCUCCACCAAUCAGCUAUUCCCCUGUCUCUCUUCUCCUUGGGCCUCUCUAUUCCCUGAGACACAAUAUUGAAAUUAGGCCAAUUAAUAACACUACAAUAGCCUCUAAGUGUUCUAGUGAAAGGAGUAAUUUUGCAUCUCUCACUUUCAAUUAAAAGCUAGAGACGAUUGAGCUCAGUGAGGAAGGCAUGUUGAAAGCCGAGAUGGGCCAAAAGCUAGGUCUCUUGUGCCAACCGUUAACCAAGUUGUGAAUGCAGAAGAAAAGUUCUUGAAGGAAAUUAAAAGUGCUGCUCCAGUGAAUGCAUGAAAAAUAAGAAAGUGAAACAGCCUUAUUGCUGAUAUGAAGACAGUUUUAGUAAUCUGUAUAGAAGAUAAAACUAGCCACGACAUUCCCUUAAGCCAAAGCCUAAUCCAGUGUAAGGCCCUAACUCUCCUCAAUUCUGUAAAGGUUGAGAGAGGUGAGGAAGCUGCAGAAUAAAAGUUGGAAGCUAGCAGAGCCUGGUUCAGGAGGUUAUAAAAGAUGCGAUCUCCAUAAUAUAAAAGUGCAGGGUGAAGCAGCAAGUGCUGGUGGAGAAGCUGCUGCAAGUUAUCUAGAAGAUCUAGCUAAGAUCAAUGAUGAAAGUGGCUACACUAAACAACAGAUUUUUGAUAUAGGUGAAAUGGCCUUCAGAAAAAGGAAAAAGAUCAGAUGGAAGAAGGUGCCAUCUUUCAUAGCUAGAAAGGAGAAGUCAAUGCCUGGCUUCAAAGCUUCAAAGGACAGGCUGAAUCUCUUAUUAGGGGCAAGUGCAGCUGAUGACUUUAAGUUGAAGCCAGUGCUCAUUUACCAUUCCCCAAAUCCUAGGGCCCUUAAGAAACAUUUUAAAUCACUUCUGCUUAUGCUCUAUAAAUGGAACAACAUAGCCUGGAUGGCAGCACAUCUCUUUAUAGCAUGGUUUACUGAAUAUUUUAAACCCAUUUUUGAGACCUACUGCUUAGAAAAAAGUCUUUUCAAAUUUUAUUGCUCACUACAAAUAAUAACAAUAAAUAAAAAAUAAAAAGGCUGGGUGCAGUGGCUCAUACCUGUAAUCCCAGCACUUUGGGAGGCCAAGGUGGAAGGAUGACUUGAGUCCAGGAAUUCAAGACCAGCUUGGGCAACGUAGGGAGACCCUGUUUCUACAAAAUAAUAAUAAAAAAAUUUACUGCUUAUUGACCAAUGCACCUGGUCACCCAAGAGCUCUGAUGGAGGUGCACAAGGAGAUUAACGUAGUUUUCAUACCUGAUAACACAGUUCUGCAACUGACAAAUCAAGGGGUAAUUUUGGCUUUAAAGGCUAUAGCUGCCAUAGACAAUGAUUCCUCUGUUGGAUCUGGGCAAAAUGAAUUGAAAGUCUUCCGGAAAAGAUUCACCAUUCUAGAUGUCAUUAAGAACACUUGUGAUUCACAACAUUAACAGGAGUUUGGAGGAAGUUGAUUUCAACCGACAUGGAUGACUUUGAAGGGCUUAAGAUUUCAGUGAAAGAAGUCACUCCAGAUGUGCUAUAAAUAGCAAGAUAAUUAGAAUUAGAAGUGAAGCCUGAAGAUGUAAUUGAACUGUUGCAAUCUCAUAAAACUUGAAUGGGUAAGAAGUUGCUUCUUAUGGAUGAACAAAGAAACUGGUUUCUUGAAAUGGAAACUACUUGUAAUAAUGCUGUGAAAAUUGUUGAAAUGACAACAGUGUUUAGAAUAUUACAUACAUUUAGUUGAUAAAGCCAUGACAGGAUUUGACAGGAUUGGAUAUGAUUUUUUUUUUUUUUGAGACAGUGUCUUGCUCUGUCACCAGGCUGAAGUGCAGUGGCGUGAUCUCGGCUCACUGCAACCUCUGCCUCCCAGGUUCAAGCGAUUCUCCUGCCUCAGCCUCCCGAGUAGCUGGGACUACAGGUGGGUGCCACCACGCCCAGCUAAUUUUUGUAUUUUUAGUAGAGACGGGGUUUCACCAUGUUGGCUAGGAUGGUCUUGAUCUCUUGACCUCGUGAUCUGCCUGCCUCGGCCUCCCAAAAUGCUAGGAUUACAGGCGUAAGCCACUGCACCUGGCCAACUGAAUACAAUAUUUAAAGAAGUUCUACUGUGGGUAAAAUACUACCAAACAACAGCACAUGGUACAGAGAAAUAUUUCAGGAAAGAAAGAGUCAAUCAAUGAGGCAAACUUCACUGUUGUCUUAUUUUUAGGAACUACUACAGCCACCCCAACCUUGAGCAACCAUCACUCUGAUCAAUCAGCAGCCAUCAACAUUGAGACAAGACUCUCCACCAGCAAAAAGAUUAUGACUUGUCCGGGUGCGGUGGCUCACACCUGUAAUCCCAGCACUUUGGGAGGCUGAGGCAGACAGAUCAUCUGAGGUCAGGAGUUCGAGACCAGCCUGACCAACAUUGUGAAACCUGUCUCUACUAAAAAUACAAAAAAUUAGCCGGGCAUGGUGGUAGGCACCUAUAAUCUCAGCUAUUUGUAAGGCUGAAGCAGGAGAAUUGCUUGAACCUGGGAGGUGGAGGUUGCAGUGAGCCGAGAUCACAUCAUUGCACUCCAGCCUGGGCAACAAGAGCAAAACUCCGUCUAAAAAAAAUAUAUAUAUAUAUAUGACUCACUGAAGGCCCACAUGAUCAUUCGCAAUUUUUAGCCAUAACGUAUUUUUAAAAUUAAAGUAUAUACAUUGAUGUUUUAGACAUAAUGGCAUUGUACUCUUAUUAGACUACAGCAUAGGGUAAACAUAACUCCUCUAUGCACUGGGAAAUAAAAAAAUCUGUGACUCACUUUAUUGCGACAUUUGCUUUAGUGCGCCAGUUGGAACCAAGUCUGCAAUCUCCCAGAGUAUGCCUGUGUAUAGUAAUAAUAAUCACAUACAUGCCCUGAGGUGGUUGCAGGAUAAUGGGGCAGAUUUCAUGGUGGGCUUCCAGAAUUCAUUUUAUGUUUGUGGUUUGCUUCACAUGACUACACUUAUGAAUGGAAUCUCCAUGAGACAAGGGUCUUUGUUUCACUCCCUGCUGUGUCUGAACUCUUAGAAUGGUGCUCAGCACACACAAAGGGUGACUUGGUGGCUGAGUGCAUCUUCCCUAGUUCAUUUGUGUGUAUAUAUAUAUGAUAGUAGUUAUAUGGUGACAUGGGAAAGAACAUUGGGCAAGGAAGUAGAACUGGAUUUGAGCUCCGCCCUGAUUUACCUUACUAUUUGGGUGAACUUGGCCAGUUACUUUAAUCCUUAUGAGCCCCAAUUACCUCAUCUGUGGAAUGGAGCAGUUACUGUGCUCCCUCUCUGGGGUCUUAUAAGAAUUUAAUGCCAAUGGGCUGUGAGAGAGCUAUGUAAACUCUGAAGCGCAUUAUUUGAUUAAAAGCUCUGGCUCAUAUGGCUGCCUUAGUUGUAAGAAAUAGAAGCUUGCAAAGAAACAGCAGUGAGGUCUUACUAUCAGGAUGCACAUAGCAAAAAAGGAAGCUAAGACUCUGACUUGUCCUGAGAGCCUUCAAAGAGUUGAAGUGAGGCACAGUUCAGGGAUGGGAAGGUUCUGAGGCUUUUCUACUGACAGGAUCAUUUUGGGCCCUCAGUUGGAGUUUGCAGACAUACUAUUUUAAGGUAAUAUAACAUCUCCUAAUAUUUGCCUUUACCUUUCCUACUUUGAUUGACAUCCUUCCUGCCUCCGUUUCCUGCUCCCCUGUGUAUUUUUCUCCUCCUCAGGGCUCCUGCUUCUGCAUAACUUCAGCUUAGUUAUAGCCCUUAGGACUUAGGAUCUGUCCAGCAUGUAUUCCAGAUCAAAUUCCUAAGAGAUAAUCUGACAGGCUCCAUUGAUUCCAUUUUCUCUUUUUUAGCUGAGCUUUUUCCACCAGGAUGCCUCAUGGGUCAGUGUCCACCCUGGUUCAAUCACCUGUGGCUAGGGGAUAAGUCUGUGGCUUCACUGUACACUGUCUUGGAUCACUCACUCUUGGGAAACCAGCCACCAUGUUAUGAGGACACUCAAGUUCUCUGUGAAGAGAUCCAUGUGAUGAGGAACUGAGAUCUCCUGCCAACAGCCGGAACCAACUUUCCAGUCAUGAGUGAGAUCUUAAAAGUAGAUCCUCCAGCCCAUAGUGAAGCCUUCAGUUGGUUUAUCCCCAGCUGACACCCUGACUGCAACCUCAUCAGAAACCCUGAUCCAGAAUUUCCCAGCUAAGCUGUGCCUGAAUUCCAGACUCACAGAAACUGUGAGAGAUAAUAAAAAUUGAUUUAGGCCUCUAAGUUUUA
rnacentral:lncRNA from 1 species